rnacentral:lncRNA from 1 species
GACGACUCGAGCCCGAAGAGCGCCCGCCCGCCGUCGCUCGUGGACUGGGUCCCGGACCCGUCCCCGUCCGGAGCUCCGCCGCCCCCGCGCGAUCCCUCGGAGCAGCUCCGCGACGGGUCCUCCCCGAGAUCGCGGCUCGGCUCCCCGCGCAGGUCCGUCACCAAGGCUGAGGCUGAGCGACGCGCCCGGGAGGAACGCGAGUACUGGGACGGGUGGUAUCGCCUGCUCACCUGCGGGACCGCGCCGAACCCGCGCGACGCGGAGCGCGGGAGGGGCGCCGGCGCGGGCGUCGCGGGCUACGCCGACAGCGACGACGAGGAGGAGGAGGAGGAGGACGCGACCGGCCGACACACGGGCGGGAGGUGCAGGGUGCACGGCCUAGGGCUGGGGUGCGCGAUAUCGUGCUGCUGUCUGGAGCCGAAUAGGCGGUCGAGGUCGUUCCAGGAUCUGCGAGAGUCGGUGUCGCCCAGGACUUCGCCCAGGACGUCCCCGAGGCCAUCGCCGUCGCGCCCGACCCGCCGCUGAUCGUUUCGGGGGGUUAACCAAAC